AUGGUGGGCGUCCCAAGCGCAAUACCGUCACACCAGAGACCUGGCUUUGCAUCCAGGGCCCUGUCUGUGGAGCCAGGGUUGCUUAUUCUGUUUGCAGCUACUUUACAGCUUGGGUCAGACAGCCUGCAGGGAAAGGACUGGAGUGGAUUGGAACAGGAUCUACUGGAGCUUCAUUCUACAAAGAUUCACCAAAGAAAAAGUGUUGAUGCUCAGACUCUGACAGAAUCUGAACCAGUGGUUAAAAGGCCUGGAGAAUCCCACAAACUGACCUGUACAGCCUCUGGAUUCACAUUCAGUGACUACUGGAUGCACUGGAUAAGACAGGCUCCUGGAAAAGGACUGGAGUGGAUUGCUGUUAUCAGAUAUGACAGUGCUGAGAUCUACUACUCUCAGUCAGUUCAAGGCCGGUUUACCAUCUCCAGAGACAACAGCAGACAGCAGGUGUAUCUGCAGAUGACCAGUCUGAAGACUGAAGAUUCUGCUGUUUAUUAUUGUGCUCGAGAGCCACAGUGACUGGAGUUGGUUCAUCAGCUGUACAAAAUCCUACUGUCCUCAUCAGACCCCUAUUGCCUCAAAUACCUAAUGUCCGCAAUUCAGAGGACAUUAGGUAUUUUUACUAUUUUUUAAAGGUAAUUUUCAGGGGAAAAAUACUUCCAAAAAGCUGAAAUACCUUGAAUGUACAAAUCGUGUACAUUCAAGAGAGCUUAAUUCAAAAUAAUCCUCAAAGAGUGCAGUAAUAGAAUUUUUUUUUUUGUACAACAGUAAUGUUUAAUAAUGUUCCCAAUAGUAAUUUCAUGAUUUAAUUUAUGCGUGAUCUAUCCACCAUACCCAUAAAAGCUGCCGAACAGAACAAAUGAACAAAUCUAAACUGGGUAUAAAAAAAUAUAAGCUGUAACAAUUGUUUU